rnacentral:rRNA from 1 species
GAUGAACGCUGGCGGCGUGCCUAAUACAUGCAAGUCGAGCGAACGGACGAGAAGCUUGCUUUUCUGAUGUUAGCGGCGGACGGGUGAGUAACACGUGGAUAACCUACCUAUAAGACUGGGAUAACUUCGGGAAACCGGAGCUAAUACCGGAUAAUAUUUUGAACCGCAUGGUUCAAAAGUGAACGACGGUCUUGCUGUCACUUAUAGAUGGAUCCGCGCUGCAUUAGCUAGUUGGUAAGGUAACGGCUUACCAAGGCAACGAUGCAUAGCCGACCUGAGAGGGUGAUCGGCCACACUGGAACUGAGACACGGUCCAGACUCCUACGGGAGGCAGCAGUAGGGAAUCUUCCGCAAUGGGCGAAAGCCUGACGGAGCAACGCCGCGUGAGUGAUGAAGGUCUUCGGAUCGUAAAACUCUGUUAUUAGGGAAGAACAUAUGUGUAAGUAACUGUGCACAUCUUGACGGUACCUAAUCAGAAAGCCACGGCUAACUACGUG